rnacentral:tRNA from 1 species
GCUGGUGAGGCACCUGUUGGGUAGGUGCGGCUGACUGUAAAUCAGUUGCUUCGGCUUCGGGGGUUCGAUUCCCUCCACCAGCA